rnacentral:rRNA from 1 species
UACGUAGGGGGCAAGCGUUAUCCGGAUUUACUGGGUGUAAAGGGAGCGUAGACGGCUGUGCAAGUCUGAAGUGAAAGCCCAGGGCUCAACCCUGGGACUGCUUUGGAAACUGUGCAGCUGGAGUGCCGGAGAGGUAAGCGGAAUUCCUAGUGUAGCGGUGAAAUGCGUAGAUAUUAGGAGGAACACCAGUGGCGGAGGCGGCUUACUGGACGGUAACUGACGCUGAGGCACGAAAGUGUGGGGAGCAAACAGG